rnacentral:tRNA from 1 species
GGCUCUGUGGUGCAAUAGAUAGCAUGAUGGCUUUCUAUAGUGAAAUGUUAUUGAAAAGUUGUGGGUUCAAAUCCCACCUGAGUCA